AUGCUGCCUAGCAACAGCGGCAGCGUGGUCACUUGCGCAGAUUUCUGCGCCUCUUCCUGUUUGGUCUGCUGGAAAAUACAGAUGGCUUCUAUGGGUCGCUCUCUGCCCUAGCCAUAGUGAGAGGGAGAGAUCAUCUCUCGAAAACCUCCCAUCAGAGCAACGAUUCUGGGAGUUUGAGCAGAAUGCUUAAGGCAGUGGUUCUAAAAUUCCACACCACCUGUUCUUCCAGUUGUGUCCUCUCUGAGCUGCCUCUGACGGUCACAUUCCAUGGCCAUGUGCCACAGCAGACUUGUGAUACUGAUUUUAGUGUUGUCCUUGGCCAUUGCGGGCAGGGAGGAAGGAGAGAGAAGAGAAGGGGAGAGAAGAAGAGAAAUGGGAGUGGGAUCCAUUCAUCCAUCUCUCUGUCAUUAGGGGCCCAGCAGUUCCCACUAUGGUACCCAGGAAACUAGCUUGGACCUGGAGGCCAUCCAGUGACCUAAUCUGGACCAAUAAAGCCACCAGGCCAUUUUCCUGCGUCGGACAUGCUUUCUCAGCUGCCCUUCCCCUUAGCUAGGGCUGAAAUGACUCGUCUUCCCAUGCCCUAGUUCCAUGGGGUUUCCUCUCUGUGACUCAGGACAGAGGGCUUGGUUGCCACCAAAGGCAGCUUAUGCUGUAGCUUCAGGUCUAGCCUGACUCAGUGGCCUUCCCUCAGCUAUUCACUAUGGAGGCACUUAAUGAAGAAGACACAAGGGUAGCAGGCCUGAGGGAUAACUUCAAGGCUAACGUGUCUUUUUUCCAGUACUUACUCUUCUUUUGAGUUUUAAGAAUUCCAGAUUUUAUUCUAAGUCAGAGAAUACUGCGAGAAAGGAUUUUAUUGUAUCCACUCCCUCCAAAUGGCAUGAACAUCUGGAUUUGCAUCCUUCCCAUGACAGAUAUCACAAAUUGGGUUGGGUUUUGCACGCUUAGGAUGAUUUUUGGUAUUCAGCUAACACCCUUCCUUUAAGGAAGUUAGAACACUUGAUAAAUUUUAAGCUUUUGAUCCUCAGUAGUACCCCUGGAAAACUGAGGUCCAGUGAGGUAAAUUGUCUUGAUUAAUUAUAUGGCAUGCACUGCUUUUUGGUGGCUCUUUUGUUGUGUUUUGUUUUUUCUUUCUCCUUCAUUUUGUUAAAAUGAAUUAUGUGAAUGUCCAGGUCAGCAGUGUUCUAUUUUCGUAGGGUAAGCCGCAUCACUAGUACUGUUUAUUUCCACUGUGCCUAUUUUUCAGGGAACUCUGUGCAUUUCCACAUUUCCAUCGCCAGCUCUAAGAAGGUACAUCUGCAGAGUUUGUUGUGACCCCGUUUCAGAACGGACAGAACCAAGUGCAGGCUUACUCUAUUUGGUAGAGACUGAGUCCCAGCAAGCAGAAGUGUCUUGCCAAGGGGAUGCAACUAUGAAUAGGAAAUGGAACUAAAAAUAGAACCUAGGUAUGACCCCAGAUAUUUGACCACUCUCACCAACAUGAUUUCUCCUUCUGGUCUCAGACCAGGACAUUCAAGGCAUCUCUCCAUUUUCAUAUGGAGAAGCAUCCAGCUAUGUCUCCGUGGUUGAUUAGGAGACCAUAUCUUUCAGGAGUCAUGUUGAAACUUGUCAGGAUAGUUCCUAAGGUCCUGAGGCCUAGGAUAGUACUGUAACCUGGCCCCGUGAAAUCUUUGGUAGAUGGUAAGUGUUCAGUAUGAAUUUAUUUAUUUGAUUAGGUGUUUUUUUUAUCAUGGUGAAUACAGUUCCUUUAAUAUCAGCAAAGACUUAGUGAACAUGUGCUCUUUGCCUCACAGAAAAUAGAAAAUGAGAUAUUAGAAGGAAAUAGAACAAAAACUAUCUGCCUUCAAGGAGCUCACAGUCUAGUUCUGGAGACUGGACAUACGCAGUCUCUGCUGUCUGCUUGGACUGGUGUCACUGUGAUCAUUCUCAGGUAACGAGCCACCUUUUAUUCUUUUACCCAGCCCAAUUGUUUUAGAUGAAAGGAUAGAGAAGCCGGCGUCUGCUGUGAUGGAGGUGAUGUUUUAUUUUAAGAUAAAGUAUAGAAGCAACUGAUUGAUGGAUUAUAAACUGGGAGGUCCAGGAUAAAGCUUCAUUCUGAGGACAUCAGUAUAUUUCACUGGGAGCCUCCUGGGCAUUAAUUCUGCCAUUAAUUUUGUUAUUAGAAACCUAGCCAAACAAAGGGAGGUGGCGAAGCUUGAGGCUGGUUUAACCUUGAUGAAACAGUGAUUUCACCAAGGAUGAUGUUGCCCCAUCCAUCUUCAUCCAUCAAGGCACUGCUGAAAUAUGCUAAUGAAGCCCAAAGAUAGGAGCACAGAGCAGUUAAAUGGGGCGUUGCAGACGCUCUCCGUACCCCCAUGACAGGGUGAUGCCAUUUACUGUCCAGAUUUAGUAUAGGAAAGAGAGCAAUGCUGACGUGGUGUCGUGGUGGAAGACAGAAUGGAGGCUCCACCUAAUAAAAAGAAAGGGCAAAGUUCGGGGUAUAUAUUCUAGAAGAAGAUGGGAAAACUUGGUUUUUGGUGAAGGGGUUGGUUUUCUUAAUUCUCUUUGGCUCACUUUCUAGCCAGUCCACACAAGAACCAGAUAUGUGGCAUACUGCAGAUAGGGCAACAUUUUUAAGUUCCAGAAUGUGACCUCCCACCGUGUGCCAAAGCAAGUUAUCUGUUACUAUGUCAGUCUGCAGCACUGUUUGUUUCCAAUGGUACAUGAGCUAAUACCUUGGCUUUAUUUAUUUACUUUUUUAAGUUACAGCCUUUUGGAUACUUAUGACAUGCUGGGCAUACUACUGAAUUAUUUUAUGUGUAUUAAUCUAAUUAGAUUCUUACAAAUAGCCGAUGAAGAAGCAAAGUUAUCACAUAUAUUUUAUAGAUGAAGUUUGAGAGGCUAAAUUCAUGUCCAAAAUUAUGUAACCAGUAAGUGGCAUAGUAGAGGUUUAAACUCAUGUCUACCCGACUCCAAAGCCUUUGCACAAAAUCACUGUGGUCUGAAGACUCUUAUGUAAGAUAUAGCUGGGAAUCCCUGAUAACCAUUGGGAUCAGCUUGACUCACAUAUUUAUUGCUUGUAUAUUCUUUGGAUUCAGUUUAACUUUAACUUUGGCAUUCCCUUCACAAUUCUUUCUUUUGUAAAUAGACUAUAAGUUCUCUGAGGUCAGCAGCCAAGCCCUUUCUCUAAUCUCCUAAAUGUUGAUGACGUACCUAGUUUCUACGUGGAGUGUUUACUUUUGGCAUCAUGCUUCUAAUGUGUGGUUAAAAAAGGCUGGCCAGCUGCUUUCUGGUUUUCAUUUCAUACAUUAGAUGAAAGCCGUGGGGGAUUUUACUUGUCUUUACAAGUUAAUUCUACAGGAUUCACAGUAAAAUUUCUGUUUCUUUGAAUUUAUUGGUGGAUCCACUUUUGUUUCCUGCUAGUACAUUACCUAUCUAGUCUGUAUCCAACUGUACAGAAAAAAGUAAACAGCAAAUGAAAUUUUAUUAUUACGUAUUAAACAGCAUCUUUGGAGCAGUCUAUAUUAGGAGGUGUGUGUCAAAUUCUACUCAUCUUAGGACCCUAGACAGUUCCUCUAAGAGAGCCUACCACCCUUCGUUUACAAAAUGCAGACCCUGAGCUAAGAGGUGGUCUUGGGCAAAUCAGGCAAAACAAUUCCUAAAUCUAAAACAUUUAUCAGCUUUUUUUUUUUUUCCUAAAUGGAGAUAAAGUUGGAAGUUAAAAACAAAAAAGGAUGGAUUAAAAAAUAUUUAAAUAAGAUGCCAAGUGACAUGAAUUUCCUGAAAUAGACUGUUUGAGGAUAAAAACUGUAUCUUGGCCUUAAUGUGUCUUGUGCCAUUUAUUAAAUCAGUUCUGAACUUUGGGGACUCCAGACUGUUAUUAAAGAGUUAAUAACUAAAGGCUUCAACGUCCAGGAUGUUGUGUGGGUCAGUGUAUCUUGCCAAGAGGUAACAUCAGCCAGUGGAAUCAGUUGGGCUCUCCGUCUGGCAGAUCUGUCUCUCUCAGCUGCUCCUCCUCCAGUUUCUAGUCUUGGAGUUCAUAUACAGUAAAUCUUUCUCUUAAUAAAGCCGUUUUUCAAAUCUGACUUUGGACUAGGGACUGCUUUUUCUCCAAAUGCAACAGCUGUUAAACAUGGUGCAUUGGGCACGGUGUAUAUCUCUUUGUUUAGUUUUGGGUUUUUAAUAUGAGCAGAGACAUAAAGGAGUGGGAGGACUCUAUCGAUUUCUUUCUACCCAUGAGUCAUCCACUGGGUUUGGAAAUAAGGCCUCCAGCCUCAAAAGGCUUCUGGGCUCCCUGGGCUUCUCACCCUUAAGGAUGAAGCCUAUUGUGCCCUAAUAACGAGUACAGGAUUCCCCCCCUUCUUUUGGUGAGAUAGAAUUGUGGAGCUCAAGGUGUCCGCCAGCAGAGGCCAGACCUUUUGGCCCCUAUCUGUCCCAUUUACAUGGGGAAAAGCAUUUUUGCCCCCUUGCUCUCUGGUCCUUCUGUCACUGUCUCUGUUCCCAAUGCACUGGGGAGCAUUAACUCCCUGAAGGGGAAAAAAGUUCACAAAAGAAAUGAAUUAUGCAUAUGGAAUUCAUUUCCUUGAUGAAUAGGGAAUCUGAACAAACUCCAUGGCUGUUUGAUUUUAAGGCAGAGGAGAAGGGGGGCUUAGGACUAAAGAGUAUAGUGGGGGAUGAUCAAAAGGAACUUGGAACAAGAGAAGUGGGAGAAAAACCAUGGCAGGAGGACUUGGGAUGGAAAUAUUGAGGACAAAGUAAGGGGAUCUUUGAAAAUAGUUGAGGGCCCAUUGUUCUUGCCAACACGUACACACAGAUAUAUACCUCACUUCCGAUUAAUGUGCAAAUUUGUCCCCAGGGAAAUUGGAAAUGGUAAUGAGAUUAUACUGGGCAGAAAUGACAACACUAAGGUGAUGUGACCGUCCUGAAUUAAAGUUUUUUCAGUGAUUUUUUUACCUUCUUCAGUCCAGGUUAACAAUGGGCACUUUGAAUUUUGAGGCAGGAGUUGUGUGAUAGGUAAAGAACUGCAUUGAGAAGUGGAAGACUUGGAUCCAAGCCUCAGAAGACACAGACUGUGUGACUGUGGGCAAGUCACCUCAUCUUUCUGUCUCAGUUAUCUCAUCUAUAAGUGGGGAUUAUGGCAACUGCCCUGGGGAAAAAAUUAUAAGGCCAAACAAAAGUGCUUUUAUGCAUAACACAAGAUACGUAUCUGAAGGGAUUUUAUUUUUCUCUCUGUGCCUCCUUUUCUUGAUGGCAUUUUGGAUAUUCAGACCUAGUCUUUUCAGCAAGCCAGAAUUUCUUUGGAGCAGAAGAAUGAAGGGGAAAUUGAUUCAGGAGCAGCAUGCUGGUUAAAGGAACAAAGAAACAAGCGAAAAAUCCCAUUUUAAUCCUCGCCUCAUCUAUGUUAUGAAAACCAUUUAAAAUAAUCAAUCUGAUGUUUUUGGCAAAUUUAGGUACUGAAUCAGUAGUGGUUACUGCAUAACUAGUUUGAUCAACAGUAGGAAAGCUUGUCAUUGACAGCCACAUACAUUAUGGAAUCAACCAGAGGGUGGUUUUUAGAGCUUCCCUCGUAGGCUGACUACCUAGAAGAGGCAACCUCUGUCCUGGCUGCCAAAGACCUGUGGAUGCUUCCGAGGGGGAGAUAUGGCCAAACUGACCCCUUACUUCUAAUUGUGCUCCAUUAUUCCUUGUUUCUGAAUGGAAAAAAGACUUGGGGACACUAAGUCUUCAGGAGAGAUAACAGGUAGAAAGUCACACAUACCUGUGCACAUUUGUUAGGGAUCUGUCCGUGCUGGUUGAGAGGAGAGAGAUUUUUUUUGAUAGUUAUGGGGUCUUAAAUCCAUUUCAGGAUUGAGUAGAUUGAGCAGGUCCAACUACCGCCAUGUCUCUUUAUUUUUCUCACCACCCAAUUUCAGUACAUGGAGUUUUUCACAGAGGUGUGUUUGUUUUACAGCAAAUCCUUCUUAGGGGUCAGGAUGUGUAGUGGAAUGCAAUUAUAUCCUUUAGGACUGCCCACCGCAAACACAUGCUGUGCACUCAUACCUUUAGUGUGGUGGCAUUCAGUCUGGUUUGCAGGUCAUGGCCCUCGGAAGAGUGUGGAGAUGUCCCAGGACAGCCUUCCUGGUAGUAAGGGGGGCAGCCCUACAGGCUCAGGGGUCCCACCCCAACUUCAACCCCUGCACCUUUGUUUCAUGGAUUUUAUUUGCUUGGGUUUAUGGGAAAGAAUCUGCUUUUAAGAAACCUUUGAAACCCAGUGGUGCAGAGAAUAGACCAAUGCCUAGUAUGAAUUAUUUAUUUGUUUAUUAAGAUUUUCAUGUACCUUCCCUUUCAAAGCUCAAGGCACUGAAUGAACUCUUCAGACUGAUAGCAGUUAGCACUAAAGGUUGAACAGGGGCCGUUGGAGGAGGAACCACUAGGGGGGAUGAGAAAAGAGGGAAGAAGAGCAGAGAGAAGAGCACGGCAGUCCGGACCCCAGAGCCACCACUACAGCCAAAGGAGGAAAAUUGUAAAGACUGCAGGCUUUCCAGGAAGGAAUCCAGCCCUGCUGGGAAGUUGUUUUGUUAUCAGGGAAAGUCACUUCCUUCUGUCAGCCUCCUCCAUGAAAUCGAGGUGACCUAGUUGACCCCCUGGGCCCCUCCCAGGUAUGAUCUUUUAAGAAGCCUGAGGAGCUUUCCUUUUUAGGUGAGCAGGCCUAACCCUUCUGCCAAGUUGUUACGGCAAUAAAAAUCAUCAUAAAAUUUUUUUUAAUGUUAUGCAUAAACCUUUCAAUAACAAGUAUAUUUGGUACAGGGUGGUUUUCAACCCUGGCUGAACAUUAAAAUCAUCUGGGGAACUUUUAAAAAAUAUUACCAGUGCCUGGGAUCUACCCUGGAAUGAUGAAAUCAGAACAUCUGGGGGCUGGUGCUGAGCAUCUGUAUUUUCUCAAAGCACCCCAGCUUUUUUUUUUUUUUUUUUUUUUUGAGUCAGAGUCUCGCUCAGUUGCCCAGGCUGGAGUGCAGUGGCGCGAUCUCAGCUCACUGCAAUCUCUACCUCCCGGGUUCACGCCAUUCUCCUGCCUCAGCCUCCCGAGUAGCUGGGACUACAGGCGCCCACCACUACGCCCAGCUAAUUUUUUUGUAUUUUUAGUAGAGACGGGGUUUUACCAUGUUAGCCAGGAUGGUCUCGAUCUCCUGACCUCGUGAUCUGCCCAUCUCGGCCUCCCAAAGUGCUGGGAUUACAGGCGUGAGCCACCGUGCCCAGCCCACCCCAGCUUUUGUGUUAUGCACUGGGGUUGUGAAAUACCCGGGGACCUGGGAAGGCUGACAAUAGGAGGUGAGCUUGAGUGUGCCCAAAGAAAGGCAAAGAAAGGCUUAUUAUUAGGGGUGUGAUUUAAGUGUUUCCGAUUAACAGUGGAGGAAGGAAACUUAAAACUGUACUUUGAAGUUACCAAGCUGUAGGUUAUUCUUAUAGUUAAGUGUAGCCCAUUUGGCUUGUGUAACUUAUUUUUCAUAUACUUCAAGGCCGGGAAACUUCAGAAGUGUUACAGCAAGUUCUUUGGCCACCUCCUCACUAGCUGGCUCCCACUGAAAGUGUUAGCCACAUGCCAGCCACCGUUGUAGGGAAAUCACACUUAGGAUAUUUUACUUGCACGCAGCAGAGAGGUUGCUGUUAUCCUCCCCAUUUUACAGAGAAGGACGUGGAGGCCCAGAGAGGCUACGUAAUUUUCUCUGGGUCCCAAAACCUGUAAAUAGUAGAGAAGGGGAUCAAACUUGUUUAUCUUACUCUAAGCUACCCCGCUCUUUCUACUAUACUUAAUGCCUCUUAGAAUGAUGCUGGACUUGUUGAUUUGUCAGCUGCUUGCCCUUGGUGGGAGGGCGUUUGGCUUUCUUUUUAAGAUAGGAGAGAAAACAUGAGAGGAGAAAUCAGCUUCUGCAGAGAUUACCUUAGAGAUUGAGCAAGGCAGUGUAAUGUAAUGAAAACAUGCACCAGAGCAGGGGCCUCUAGCCCCAGGGGCAGGCUUGCAAUUAGAACUGGGCUAAAAGAAAGAAAAUUGUGGGAGGGUCCAAAUGAGUAUAUGGGAAAUAUGCUUUUUGUUUAACUGUGAUACCUUUGGUGUCAUUGAUGUGACUUAUGCUGUUUGCCUCUUUCAUUCCAAGAUGACACACCUCUGUGGGGUUACUUUGUAUUCAUUCUGGACCUGGAUCAUUUUCAGGGGGUCCAUGCUAGAAUGUACUGCCAUGUGGGAACGCUGGCCUACAGAUCUAGUUAGGUCCUCUCCCACCGCCAUGCACUUAGUCACUUCACCUGCUGCCUUCCAAAACAAAUGGGCUGUGUGUGUCUCCUUCCCUUAACAAAGUAUUCUAUAAUCAUAUUUUCUAGCUUAAAAUUAGUCUUUUAGAUGUAAAACACAUCUAAAGCACUUUUAUUAAUGGAUCGCUUUCCUUCAGGGAUUACAGUGCUUAGUAUGAGGUGCUAACUCAUCUAUUUUCAUGCCAUAUAGGGAAGGAAAGUGUUAACUAUUUUCGAAUGUAGAGAAUACUUUUGUUGGGAGUCUCUAAACCUUAAACCCAGGACCUGUUUGACAAAACUGUCAUCUUCCCAACCCCCUGAAAAGAUAAUGCCCUAAAUCUAUCAUUUUUUUUUUUCUCGCCAGUAGGCAAAACUGGCUGUUUUCUGGUGUUAGUUGUUCCUACGUGUGGCUUGGAGCCAUGGCCACUUGGCUUCCUAGAUUGUGUCCCAUGAAUUCAAGCAUACGGAGCUCCCAGUCUGCUGCACGUGGCCUCCCUUGUCCUUCACAUCCCUGCAGCAGACUGUAGCAAACUUUCAAGUUAGCUUUUUAUUGCGUUCCACCCCCUACCAGGGGUGUGAUAGAGCAAACUUAAACUCAUGCAACUCAAAAUGACCAUGCUGGGUCUGUUCUAAGUUUGAAUUUGGACCUUGAUCCAGCCUUCACAUACUUUCUCUUAUAAAUUCCUUUUAAUGCUAGUUAAUAAAAAUAUAAUGGCUUUCCUGUCCCUUCUCAUAAUAACAUUGCCAGCUUUGGGGGUUCUUUGAAAACCUUGCUUGAGAAGUCCAUGGCCAAAAAAAACCAAAGAUAUUUGGCUUUAAAAUAUGGGCUUUGCUUACCAAACUCCUCUCUCUGAGGAAGGGAGAGAAAGAGUUGAAGGUUUCUGGGAAAGGAGCAUAGAAGCAACUCUUAACUCUGGCCACAUGGAUCUGCAGACAAAAUUAGGGCAAAUGUAGUGCUACAGAUCCCAUCCCCGGGCCUCACAGUGUGGCCAACCAUAUGAAGUCAGAUUUGGAGACUUUUUGGAGAUGGGGAAGCCACUAGACUCUUAGGCAUCUGGUGUAAAGAGAGAAUUUUUCUUUGCUACUUUUUUUUUUUUUUUUUUUUUGGGAUGGAGUCUUGCUCUGUUGCCCGGGCUGGAGGGCACUGGCGUGAUCUUGGCUCACUGCAGCCUCUGCCUCCCAGGUUCAAUAGAUUCUCCUGCCUCAGCCUCCUGAGUAGCUGGGAUUACAGGCACCCACUACCAUGCCUGACUAGUUUUUGUAUUUUUAGUAGAGACAGGGUUUGACCAUAUUGGCCAGGUUGGUCUUGGACUCCUGACAAGUGAUCCACCCGCCUCAGACUCCCAAAGCGCUAGGGUUACAGGUGUGAGCCACCAUGCCUAUCUAUCUUUGCUACUUUCUACUGGAAGAGAAGGCAGCCCUGAUUUAGUCUGUUUACAGUCUGCAUUAUGUGGAGAAUAGAAAGCCAUCGUAGUCCCUAAAACUUUUCUUGCCAGUUAACCCUACAGGACAACCUGUCUUUGUCACUUGACAACUGUUAACUGAGAAAAGGGCCCUUGCUCCUCUAGGUGUGCACAUUAAGGACUUUGCACAGUGUGGAUGUAGCUCAUGCUGCUCUGCCGUCUAGUACAUGCUGCUUGAAUUUUCAUCAUCAUCCUCCUCUCCUUCCACCUCCAAGAAAAAAAAAAGCGUGCAGGAAGUAGCAUUUCAGUUCCUUCUCCACCACCUCUGCUUCCCUUCUCCCUUCUUUUCCUCCUUGCAGCAUUCCCUUUAGUACCAGGGAGGGAUGGUGGUUGAAAAUGGGGGGAAUGAUGUUGCUCAGAAAAAAAAAACAGCCUAGACCUUAAGAGGUGAGGGGAAAGGAAAGAACACUUCAAGCAUAGCCCAGCCCAGGCGUGCCAGCUCCCACCCCAGCCUCCUUGUACCUCCCAUCUCUGAAGGAGGGUGAUGAAUUCGGUUUCCACCAACAUUAAACUGAUAAAUGAAAUUUGUAUGUUAAAACAAUGAUAAUUUAAUUGUAUUUUAUUUCCUUCUUUCCCAUCCACACUUCGAUCUCACCCCGCUCCCCAUUACCCACCCUUCAGCUUUGGGGAGGGGGUGGUGGAGGCUGUGCAGAGGCAGGGGCAUUGCAAGCUGUCGGUUUGCAUUGUGCGGAUGGGGAAAGGUCUCUACCUGGCUCAUUUUGUCCCCUUUGCUUAGGCUGUCACUGCUGACAGUCCUCAUGUUUAUUUCAUCUCGCGUGGUGGCUGUCUCGUUUCCCUACCCUCCGAUGUCAUUAACGCACAGAGAGCGGGCCCUGCAGUGUUGAGCCUAAUGAAUUCCGCUGUGGCUGCUCUGCUCCCCACCUCGUUACCAAAGCUCAAGGUGUCAAAUUAAACCCAGCCUAGAGAGAAAGAGAAAGUGCAGGAGAGAAGCAAGAGCAGGGGAAGAGGGAGGUGCAGAGAACACAUAAACAACCCUCCAAAAAGAAGAACAGUUGAAGGUGGGGGGAGAAGAAAGGAGGGGAAUGAGACAGAGAGGAGCCCACAAAUGGGUGACUUUCCUCCUGCGACCAAAUCCACUUUAAGCACGGUGACAUCCAUGACUCACAGCAGGACCUAAUGACCUAUUCUUCCCCGGGUGGGGUUUGUACCUUGGCCUUGGCUGCGGUUUGUUGCUUUUUCCUCGUUGUCUGGUUGAUUUAUUUUCAUGGUUUAUGCAGAUUGGGCACCUUGCAAAGCAGACAGAGCAAGUAAGAGGAGUCAGAGCUUAUGGAGGGAGGGUGUGUGUGUGUGUAAGGAAAAGUAGAAGCCAAAUGUGAGCUCUUGGUUUAGUGGCUGAUCAGCUGUGGAAAUCUAUGUUUCAAAAUGGUAGAAAGAGGAAAUCAUCCCAUUUCUUUUUUUUUUUUUUUUUUUGGAGAGGGAGUCUCUGUCACCAGGCUGGAGUGCAGUGGCACGAUCUCAGCUCACUGUAAUCUCAGUCUCCCAGGUUCAUGCCAUUCUUCUGCCUCAGCCACCCAAGUAGCUGAGAUUACAGGCAUGUACCACCACACUCAGCUAAUUUUUGUAUUUUUAGUAGAGACGGGAUUUCACCAUGUUGGCCAGGAUGGUCUCGAUCUCCUGACCUCGUAUAAAUUUAAAUAACCCCUGUGGGGGUACUCUAGCAGAUUUUCCUCCCCUCACUCCACCCCAAUUUGGAAAAUAGUGAUUCAUUUCAUCUCUUUUCUAUAUAACCUUGUGUCGUUUACAAAGCAUUUUCCUUUAUAUUAUUGGCAUUUUAUCUUUGGGGCAUUUUGUUGGAGAUGACAGUUAAUAGAUUCUUCCCAUUCUACAGAUGGGAAAAGUGAGGAAUAGAGAUGUUAACUUACUUGCUCAAGGUAAUAGAACUAGAAGGUGAGAGAAGAGGGUUACAUUUCAGUUCCUCCCUUUCUGGAAUUCAGUGUUUUUCCCUUAUACCACUAAACUUCCUAGAUUUUUGUCAAGAGGUGGGAGGAAGUUAAAGAUAAAUAAGCUUGUGAAUUUUAAAACUUGAAAAUUUAUAUACAGCAAAAUAGUUAGACCUAAGAUAUACAGUUUGAUGUGUUUUGACAAGUAAAUAUACUCAUGUAACCAACACCCCUUUAUCACCCUGGAAAGUUUCUUUCAGCCCUUUUUACUUCUCUUACCACCCGCACCCCCACCGCCGCAUCAUCAUAGUUUAUUUUUGCCUGUUUAAACUUUUUUUUUUUCCAGACAGAGUCUCACUCUGUCGCUCAGGCUGGAGGGCAGUGGUGUGAUCUUGGUUUGCUUCAAUCUCUACCUCCCGGGUUCAAGUAGUUCUCCUGCCGCAGCCUCCUGAGUAGCUGAGAUUACAGGUGUGCGCCACCAUACCCGGCUAAUUUUUGCAUUUUUUGUAGAGAUGGAGUUUUGCCAUGUUGGCCAGGGUAGUCUUGAACUCCUGACCUCAAGUGAUCUGCCUGCCUCAGCCUCCCAAAGUGCUGGCAUUAGAGGCGUGACCCACCACACCCAGCCUUGUUUAAACUUUGUUAGUAGAAUCACACAACAUGUGUACUUUUGUAUCCGGCUUUUACUUAUCACACUGUUUCUUGAGAUUUAUCUGUGUUAUUGCUUGCAUCAGUACUUCACCCCUCCUUAUUACCGAGUGGUAUUCUAUUAUGUGAAUACACCACAAUUUUUUUAUCCAGUCUCACUUGUUUUUUUUAAAUCUUUUUACGAUAAUUUGGUAUGUAAGACACAAUUUUUUAUAAGCGUUUUAGAGCACAUGGGUGAUGGCCUGGCUCCCUGAAUUCAGUGGCAGGGCCGUGGUGCUGGGCAAGAGGGAUGAGUGAGGGGCUGGGCAUGGUGCCUUACACCUGUAAUACUAGCACUUUUGGAGGCUAGGGUGGGUGGAUCACUUGAGUUCAGGAGUUCGAGGCCAACGUGGUGAAACCCCGUCUACUAAAAAACAAAAUUAGCCGGGCAUGGUGGUAGGCACCUAUAAUCCCAGCUACUUGGGAGACUGAGGCAGGAGAAUCGCUUGAACCGGGGAGGCGGAGGUUGCGGUGAGCCGAGAUGGUGCCACUGCACUCCAGCCUGGGUAACAGAAUGAGGAGUGAGCUGAGGCACAGGGCAGACAAAAGCCUGUCAUGACCACACCUCUCAAACCUGGGCCCACAAACCCGUACUUUAAAUGGCUUGGAACUUACUUGUUUCUUUGCUUGGGGCUCAUUGUCUGCUUCAUUGUCCUUGGCUAUUUAUGACAAUAGGCGUGACAAUAGAACAGCAUAUUCCUUCUUUGGAGUUUUUUGUGUUAGUUAUUUGAUUUUAAAAUUCUGCUCCUUUUUCCCAAGAUGAAAAUGGAAUUUUGUUUCUGAUAAAUUUUUCCAUUCUUUUCCAAACAGUAGAGUCAACUCAAGGAUAUCACAAAUCGGGACUAGAAAUUGCUGGCAGAUAUUCCAUAAACACAGUGCAUUGGGGGUAGGGUGUCUAGCUCUAAUAUUUGCAUUUUGUAGAUGGGGACAAUAUGAACAACUUUGUCACUCCACUAAGAUUUUUGGCACUUAGAAUGGCAAGAAAAUCCAGGUUCCCUUACUUAUAAUGUAGUGCUUUUACCUUGAACCAAAAAGGUAGGAUGUGCGUGUGUAUUUCCAGGGUCUCUGUGAUUUGUCAUUCGUAUUAACAGAAAAGAGGCCCAGUCUUUGGAACUCUGGUUAGAGUUGACAUCAUGGCAAAACAUCAGGCCUCAGGUUUCAUUGAUUUUAAACUUACUAUGUCGUGUGAUUAUCUCAUCACUGAUGGCCUUUGUCAUUAAAUCCACUGCUUCAGCUGGGUUGAACACAUUUGAGGAGGAACAGGAUCAAGAAGGUUUUUGAAAGAUAUGGACAAGUGAAGGAGAAAUACUGGAAUUUAAAUUCUUUCCUUCUUUUUAAAACUAUCCCUGGUGAUCUGUACUUUCUAAAGAGUCAAAAUGGGAAGAGAAUGGUCUGAGAGUGGAGAUUUGGUGGCAUCACAUCAGUAGUUCUACUUUCUUCUCCAUUCCCACACACGUAAACUUCAUGAAAAUAAACUCAGUUAUGCAGCAUUUAAGGCCUAUUCAGAAAGGAUUCAGUUGUAGUCAGUCAAUGGAAGAACCAAGAUAGUUAACCAAGUCUUAAGCAUUUCUCUAUUCAUUCAGCAACAUUUAUCGAACUGGGUAUAAGAAAUAGAUGAAGUCAGCCUCUGCCAUCAGGAGCUUGUGAUUGGGGAGCAAUGUGUGAUGUGAUCUGUAUUAUCACAGAGGGGAGCACAGCAUGUGAUGGGAAUGGAAGACGGGCUCCUAGCGUGGCCUUCUUGGGUCAAGGAUGGCACGCUGGAUUGGAUAACUCAGGGGAAGAACUGAUUUUAUGGAAAUUAUCCAAAGGAGUUAUUCAUUAAUUUAGCAUCUCUCCUCCCCAGUCUCUGAUGUGUGUUUUUUUUUCUUUUUCUUUUUUUGAGACAGAGUUUCACUUUUGUUGCCCAGGCUGGAGUGCAAUGGUGCGAUCUCAGCUCACUGCAACCUCUGCCUCCUGGGUUCAAGCAAUUCUCCUGCCUCAGCCUCCCAAGUAGCUGGGAUUACAGGCAUGUGCCACCACGCCUGUCUAAUGUUGUACUUUUAGUAGAGACGGGGUUUCUCCAUGUUGGUCAGACUGGUCUGGAACUCCCGACCUCAGGUGAUUUGCCCGCCUCAGCCUCCCAAAGUGCUGGGAUUAUAGGAGUGAGCCACUGUGCCCGGCCUCUGAAGUCUUUUUUAAACUGCCUGUCUUCUACAGAGCACCAUGCUAUGGGAGUGUGGUCUGGCUUUGGGAGUAGAAAAGUCCAAUGUUGAGUACAACAUUGAGAUACAUGGCUGUUGGGACCACUCUUAAUCUUCCAGCGAUGACCACCAUUUCUUGUAGUGGUUUGCUGAGACAGUCAAGACAGCGUGAAUAUUUCUGGUAACGUUCAGUGAAAUUUUUUCUUGUGAUUGACCUACUGUUUGUGUUUGCUGAUCUGGAACUUCAGUUGACCUCCUUGACUGCAAUCAUUUGUUCUGGUGUUGUGUGUUUGUUUACACUGGGCUUUAGAUUUGUAAAACAUUGUAUAUAGUUAAUGUGAUGUCGCCUCCCUAAAUCUUAGUGAAUAGUAUUUUACAUGGUAUCAAUAUGCAGUGAAACUACUAUGAUUGUCAUAGUCUAACAUGGUGUAAGGACUUGAUGAAGAUUUUGUAUGACAAAUGAGGCUGUGGCUGCCUUUGGGAUUAGUAGAUAUAUGGAACAGGAACAAGAACAAGAAGGCAUGUGGGUAUUCACCAUAACAUGAAUAGAUGGAGAUUAUAUAGAGACAGUUAGCCUUCAAUUGCAGGUGGAGAAUGGAAUUAAUAUGGAACAUUUAAAAAUAUUUUAGAAAUGAUAUUUUUAAAAGAGAGUCAAAAUAAAAUGCUUUCAUCUGAUUAUUUGACCAGAAAUUGGGCUGCUUAAUAUAAUGAAUAAUUCUUAGGAUCUAUCGAUAUGGCUACUCAAUGGUAAGAAGUGCCGCAUAAAUAUUGGUCUAAUAUGUAUAUAAUUAUGUAACUCUAGCCAGGUAGCUGGAUUAAAUAUGGGUAACAGCAAAAGCACUUCUGCCCUGAUAAAAAUCUUAGUUACAUUUAAAUACUUAAUAUAAUCAGCUCUUUUUCAAGUAAACAAUAAUUCAGGAGGCAAAUGUUUAGUACAUCUCAUAGAAAUUUUUUGUCUCAAUUUGUUUGCCUGUACAAUCUGCAUUCUUCUUAUUAAUUUAAUCCAUAUUUUGAAGAGUCAGAAAAGAAUUCAUCUCAUUUGAGUUAGUUUAGAUCAACAUACUGAUAUUGCUGAAUAUUUUCACUUCCCUGAAACUAAACAUAUCUAUUCCCUUCGUCUUAGACAAAUUAUGAGGGGAAACCUGUCUGAAAUUUGGCUAACACAUGGUGUGCAUUUGAUGCCACUGGAGGAUUUGCUUUGUCAAUUUAAGAUUGAGUGAUGGCUAUAGAGGAAAGUGACGGAAAAAAAAAAACCUUCUUAAUGUGAAAUAGAAAGUAUAAAGGACAAUAAAAUGCUACAAUGUACAGGAAAUUCUUGUAAUAUGACUAAUCAUGUAUGAGACUUGUAGAGAUCAGUUCUGCUACAGGUAUUCUUAUGUUAUAUAAAUGAUAUUAUAAUAUCCUAUUACAUAUAUUAUAUUAUCAUACUAUACCAAGAAUAGAUAAUAUUUUUCAUCAACUGGUGAUUCAAGUGUGAGUUUAUACAUGGGUUGACUGUGGAUUGUAUAUAUAAUACCAAGCCUGUGUAAAAUAAAACAAAAACCCCCUUCAAACUCCCAUAUGGAAUAUUUGACUAAAGCAAUAAUAUUAAGAUAACAUACUCUAUUCCAAAUAAGGAUAUAAUUUGCUUUUUGAUAAAGCAAAGCAAAACGAUGGAGUGUAUUGGUACUGUUUUCCACAGAGUGGGAAGAUGAGAACACAUGUAGAGAUGAUAAAAUGUCAUUGGCUCCAAGAGACAAGCUUCCGAAAUCCAUGGUGGUUGAAGAACAUCAAAGAGGAGCAAUUAUUUCAGUGAUUAGGGCAGUUCCACCUGUUCUAAUUGAACAUUUCUAGGAUGUAGAAGAUGCAUCAUACAUUGGUAUCUAUUCAGAAGAUGGGGACAUCUGCUGUCUGUCAUGUAUCUGGGAGAUGUUUAUCUCAACAGGAGGCAAUAAUAAUAUGGUAAACCAAACCUAAUAUUAUCAUGAUGCAUUAAAACUGGGUUAAUUGAAGCAAUAAAAUCAAAGUAACAGUAAAUGCUUAUACAACAUGUUAAGUAAUAUUUACUUCAGUCUUAGAAAUGAAAUGAUAAUUUUACAUUCUAGCAGAUGUAUUUCUUGAUACCUGUUCUGAGAGGACAGAAACAAGGCUCAAAAUUCAUACAAGAGGCUAAUAACAACUUAGUUGAUAGUAAAAUAUGGAGCAUUGGAUGUAGAGUACAUUAACCUUCUUGUUUAAUCUGAGUUGACCUAUAAGUGGGCAUAUUGUUUUUUGGGGAAUCGGGAGUUUUCUGAAGUAGAAAGAAGCCCCACUUUUCCUUUGAUAGGGUACCAGUCAAGGAAAUAAAUGCUCUUUUUUCUACCUGAGUUAGAUUUGCCUUUUGUUUGCUCACCCUGAUCUGUGUGGCUUUAUUGACCACUACAGUUUAAGCCCAUGCAACCUGCAUGCUGUGCAAGAAAGAAAGGUGAUGGGCAGAUAGUCCCAGAGUUAAACUUCUGGUGCCUUUGCCACUGCAUGUCUUGCCAUCCUAUCAUCAUAGUAACUUUGGGUAUGGCCUCCCAGCAGCUUCAUUGUUAUGCCUGUGGGCAUUCAUGUCCCACUGUCAGGCAGAUUCUGGGGGACUGGGGAGCCAGAAUGAUGGGUGGCAGGCAGGUGGUAGAUGGGGAGACCUAAAGUCCAAAAGCUAGACCCCUUCUCUCUUAACUCAUAAUGGCAUUCAGAAGUUGUAAUUAUUUCACAAAUAAUAAAUGAGGUACAAAAAAAAAAAAA